CGCGUAGGCGGCUUGCCAAGUCAGGGGUGAAAUCUUUCGGCUCAACCGGAAAAGUGCUUCUGAUACUGGCAGGCUGGAGGGAGGUAGGGGCAGAUGGAACUUCCGGUGGAGCGGUGAAAUGCGUAGAUAUCGGAAGGAACGCCGGUGGCGAAAGCGAUCUGCUGGACCUCUUCUGACGCUGAGGCGCGAAAGCCAGGGGAGCAAACGGGAUUAGAUACCCCGGUAGUCCUGGCCCUAAACGAUGGGCACUAGGUUGUGGACUUGACAUGGGUUCACAGCCGAAGCAAAAGUGUUAAGUGCCCCGCCUGGGGAGUAUGGUCGCAAGGCUGAA
rnacentral:rRNA from 1 species